UACGAAGGGGGCUAGCGUUGUUCGGAAUUACUGGGCGUAAAGGGCGCGUAGGCGGCUGUCCAAGUCAGAUGUGAAAGCCCCGGGCUUAACCUGGGAAUUGCAUUUGAGACUGGGCGGCUUGAGUUUCGGAGAGGUGGGUGGAAUUCCCAGUGUAGAGGUGAAAUUCGUAGAUAUUGGGAAGAACACCGGUGGCGAAGGCGGCUCACUGGACCGUAGUUGACGCUGAGGUGCGAAAGCGUGGGGAGCAAACAGG
rnacentral:rRNA from 1 species